rnacentral:rRNA from 1 species
CCUACGGGAGGCUGCAGUGAGGAAUAUUGGUCAAUGGGCGUAAGCCUGAACCAGCCAAGUCGCGUGAGGGAUGAAGGUUCUACGGAUCGUAAACCUCUUUUAUCAGGGAAUAAAGUGUGGGACGUGUCCUAUUUUGUAUGUACCUUAUGAAUAAGGAUCGGCUAACCCCGUGCCAGCAGCCGCGGUUAUACGGAGGGACCGGGCGUUAUCCGGAUUUAUUGGGUUUAAAGGGUGCGUAGGCGGCCUUUUAAGUCAGCGUUGAAAGUCUGUGGCUCCACCAUAGAACUGCCGUUGAAACUGGGUGGCUUGAGUAUGUUAGAGGCAGGCGGAAUGCGUGGUGUAGCGGUGAAAUGCUUAGAUAUCACGCAGAACCCCGAUUGCGAAGGCAGCCUGCCAAGCCAUGACUGACGCUGAGGCACGAAAGCGUGGGGAUCAAACAGGAUUAGAUACCCGAGUAGUC